rnacentral:rRNA from 1 species
AUACGGAGGAUGCAAGCGUUAUCCGGAUUUAUUGGGUUUAAAGGGUGCGCAGGCGGGGAUGUAAGUCAGUGGUGAAAUACUGCCGCUUAACGGUAGCAUUGCCAUUGAUACUGCAUCUCUUGAGUGUGGUUGAGGUAGGCGGAAUGUGCAGUGUAGCGGUGAAAUGCAUAGAGAUUGCACAGAACACCAAUUGCGGAGGCAGCUUACUAAGCCAUAACUGACGCUGAGGCACGAAAGCGUGGGGAGCGAACAGGAUUAGAUACCCUGGUAGUCCACGCUGUAAACGAUGUUCACUCGCUGUUUGCGAUAUACAGUAAGCGGCUGAGCGAAAGCAUUAAGUGAACCACCUGGGGAGUACGAUCGCAAGGUUGAA